UAAUGAGAAUCUCAUCUGUGAUGUGAAGGACGCACAUCGUAGUUUCAUGCAUUCUUGAUAUUCCAGGAUAUGCUUGUGGCUGAGGUGGUGAAGCAAACUGCUUGUGUUGCCUCCUGCGGCUACAACUUUAGCCCGACAACAUUUGAAGAAUAUUGUUGUUUGAUUGACAUCUGAUUUUUUUAAAGC